ACACUCUCUCUCUCUCUCUCUCUCUCUCUCUCACACACACACACACACACACACACACACACACACACACACACACACACACACACACACACACACACACACACACACACACACACAAGCAGCAGCUCUCGGCUCUUGCAGCGCAGAAACGCUGUGCUCUGUGAGUGCGGCAGGAGGCGGAGAAGGAGAAAGGCUGCUAUGUGAACCGAAGAGAAGGAAAUUCUUGUGUGUGUUUUGGAAUGCGAUUGCCCCAGGGGAGACCUCGUGACAAAAAUGAGCUGGAGAAUAAAAUAGAGGGGUGAGUUUAGAGAGAGGGAAAAAAGCAGGGGGCGCGUUUCCCCUUCCUCUGUUUCCUCUUUACUGCGAGAAUAACACACACUUACACACACUUAAACACACACACACACACACACACACACACACACACACACACGCACGCACGCACGCACGCACGCACGCACGCACGCACACACACACACACACACACACACACACACACACACACACACACACACACACACACACAGAGGAGUAAAUGGUUGCAAUCAUCAAAAAUCUCCGAGUUUAAUGAAUGAAAACGUUUGUCAGAAAAUACCAAUGAAAAUACCAACGUUUGUUAGAAACACCAAUGAACUCAUUAUUAUUUUUUUUUUUAUUAUUAUUAUUAUUAUUAUUAUUAUUAUUAUUAUGGUGGUUGUUGUUGUGGAAAUAUUACAAAUGUGAUGUUUAAACAUCCUUAUUUUAAAUUGUAAAACAUAUACCACGGCAGUAUUAUAUUUAUUUUUAAUACAUGUAUGAAUGAAUUUCAUUUAUACAUUGAUUUUUUUUUUCAAAGCAAAAUACCUGAUUAAUUUGAGCCUCUUUAGUUCAAAUAGUUUCCAUCAGGGGGCACACAUGAGACACGUUAUCUGUGCAUUGUUUCAGUCAGUGGGCCAGGAGAAAGACUGGCAUGACACUUUCGUUUCAUUUGAAGAACUCUAAUUCUUGGUUUCAUUUCAAAAGGUCCAAUCUUUUUUUUAUUUAUUAACUAUUAGACAUUAUUCCAAAACCAUUAAAAUGUAUUUAUAAAAUGCAAUAGAUUUAAUAGAUAAGGUAUGUAGUAUGGGAAGAAAAGAGAUCCACAAGCCUGGGAGUUUACUGUGUUUCAUUCCUUUUGCCCAAAAAAUAUUUAGUACAUACAUGUAUCUAAUUAUUCUGCUGUUAUUUUUGUUGUGUAACCAGCUACUGCACUGACAACACUUUUGCAUGCCUUCCCGAAACACCUUCAAAGAUACUUUAAAGAACAUGUGCAAUGAACAUGUUUAAUUUACAAAAAAUAUCUCUACAGAAAAUUAAGGGUGCUUAUUUUGUUUGUUCAAAAUGAAUUAUUAACCUUAAUUUUUAGAUGAGGAAAGAAUGACAGUAUUGCACAUUAUCAAUGUACUGUUAACCAUCAUGCAGAAUGGUUUAGGAUUAAGCAUGUUUAGAAAUUUAAAUGCCUUUAAAUGUUCGUGUUAGCUAAACUAAAACAUGCAUUUCAUAAAUACCACCUUAUAUCUGCAAUCAUCAUCAAACAUCUUCACACCUCACAUGGAGAUUUCACUGUCUCCAGUUAAUGUAACAGCAUGAUAUUACAAAAUACUAUCAGAAAAAUUGUGAAAACACUGGGGGAUGUUUGUUCAUUGUAUAAAAUACUUUGAUAUAAGGAAUGACCUCUAAUAUUGUCUAAUGUGAAAUAUAUUGCUUUUUUGAAUGGACUUAACUGCUACAUGCAUAUAAGAAAUACUAAGGUCUCAGUAUUCACUGUUUUUUACCUGUUAGAUCUGAUCUGACAGUUUUCAUUACUGUCCUCACCAAAAUAGCAAACUAUGUCUAUGCAAGUAAAUAAAUCUUGCAUUUUUAAACGAACUUCAUGUUUUGAUCGAUUUUAACAUCAAUUAAUGUAAAAUAUCUGAACUUGUGAAGGUUGUCACAGAAUUUAAAUCAAAAAAAUCAUUUUCUGAUCUGCAAAGAGCCAUGCAAAUGGCUUGUCUCAAUUGUCACUUUUCUAUAGUUGCCUUUACCAGGAAAAAAACCUUUUUGUUAAAAGUGUACUGUUGCAGGAGAAUGUUCACGAUAACUCCUGCCUAGCAGUUAAUCUUACACAAAAAGCAAGUCAGUUGUGAAACAAUUACUAAUACCAUAUCUGAUCGCACUGCAAUUACAGUCUAUGAAAGUCUAUGAGUGCUGUCAGACAUGUCACAUUUCCCCCGAGAGAGCUGCUAAUGGAUCCAGUGCCUCAAUUGACAUAAAGACAAGAAUACCAGUGAUUUAUAAUAUAGAAUAUGUCAAUUAAAGUACCUCACUCCUGCUUUCACACCGAAAAGCCCUCUAUUAUGGAACAAGGCCUAAAAUGGUUACAUUUUCAUGUUAAUUAUGUUCAGAAGUCUGCUGCAAAUCUGAAAUCACAAUGGAAGGUGUUUUAUACUCUUAUUCUCUGCAUGAAUUUCAAUUUGAAUUCAGUUACACUCUAUCUGUUUUGGGGGGGGGUUUUGGUGUGUAUUUUUUUAAAUAUAAAGGGUUUGAUUGUUAUAUACAUGUAGUUCAGCUGAAAAUAAAUGUAACGGAGUUAUGGUAAUGAUUUGAGAUUUUUCUUUUUUUUAUGUUGAAUCGCUCAUCCUCGGAGACCAUGUGAGCUCCUGAAGAAGAAUAGCUGUUAGUAAUCGCCCACGCGCACAAAUGUGAAAUAUUUUAAUGAGCAAUCUGUCUCAUUUUGAAUAUUAUCAAGCCAAUCCAUUUCUACAAAAUUAUCCCUCAUAUUCAAGUCACUUAGAGAAAUCAGUCACUUAGUAUUCUUGCAAAUUCCCAUCUUACACUGCAUUAGGGUUCUAGAGACACAAUAACAUUGUAAUACAUUACUAAUUGCAGUUCCUUUCAUGACCCUUCUAGGUGCUGUCAUGUCCUGGUGAACGUGGAUCACCAGACACCGAAGAGGUUGGACAGGGAGAAGACUGAGACUCAGCACAUGCAAGCAACAUUCAGCCAUCAGGAAAUACUCCUUUCUCCCAGACUGAGUUCAGAGGGCUCAUAUUCCAGUUUCAUUUGAUACGUGAUUAUGCCAUCUUCUAGCUCUCAGUGCAUGAGAAUGCCAAGAUCGAAGACUGAAGAUGACUCCAUUUUACAACGAAGGCUGUUUCUGUGAUACUGGUUUGCUCAUGAGCUGCUCAGUAGUCAGUGUAGAUCCUGUGUUGCAAUCAGCAGCUACAUCUGGCUACUGGGUCUCUGAUGGCAUUCUGUGCUUCCUGUUGGCACAUUCCAUUCAGCUUGUGUGGUAUGCUGACUUUGACCUGUCAUUCACAAAAUAGCACUCUCUCUGUAUUAGAAGGGCUGAAGACAUUUCCUUCUCUCAAUUUUUUUUUAGUUGCCCAUAAGACUUUCCGAUUGUGACCUUUUCAUACAUCUCCAUUAGUUUAUUGUGUAUCUGGUUUAUUGUUUCUCUAAAUAAUUUGACACACACUCUGCAUGCAGCGGUGUUGUUGAAGCAACUAGAAAUUAUUUCAAACUUUGUUUUGACGUGGUGGUAUUGUCCGAUGAAUGGAUCCAUCCACUGUCUCUCGGCUGACUGUUGAAGAUGCAGUUUGAGUGAUUUGAUGACAAAGGACAAGGCAAGAUGUCACAUUCUUUGUGUGAUUAGGCUGUCAUAGUGGCUGGAUUUGUGUGAAUGCCUUCAGUUGCUGACGGCUGAGAAAUAAUGAAUGUGAAUCUUUUGCACAUGCAGAAGCCCAUCACUUUGCGAGGGCGAAUGAUGAAUUCUUUUGUGCUGUCCCGAACCUGGCAUACAAUGUAGAUUUCUGUGUGGUACAAUCUACAGCUACAUUGUCUGCUGGGUUUCAGGCUGGCCAAAAAUGCUCCUUGGUUUAUUAUAUGAAUAGGUAAGUAAAUAACCGUUUUUUAAAUGUUUAAAGUAAAUCUUGAGAACACAAUAAAGAAAAAAGAAAUGAAACAUACCCUGGAGUGUUUCUCAUUAUUUUUGGAGGCCCCUGUACAUGAACAAGAAUUCUAUUUGAACACACUUGGUUUCAGUGAUGAAAUUUGUAGGGCAGCACACCCCUGACAGACUGUCACAAUUUUGCUAAGGACAAAAAUAGAAUCUUGCAUAUGACAACAGUGUGCUCUAUCCUUAUCACCAUUAUUAAUCUGGAAGAUCCUUUUCCCAGAACACACACUGAGGUGCUGUCUCAGAGUCUCCCUCACACACAAACUGAAUGAAAAAUAAGUGGCUAGAAAAAAAUAGCUUUACUCUAAAAGGUGACACAAAACAAUAAUUUGCCCUCAAUUUCUCCCUCGCAAGGAGUUGGGGUAUUGUCUUAUUAAUAUCAAGACUUACAGUCAAACAAAGACUAAUGAAGAAUCUCUGUAUCUAUAGAGAAAUUCAUCUAUCAGACACAGUCACAGUAUUGAUGCAAUACUUCCUAGGAGCACAGAUCAGUUUUUCUCGACAGCAUUGUAUACAUUUCAGUGUCCAUCUUUCAAUUCAAUUAUAUCGGAAUAUAGCUUAUUUUCCACACUUUUUCUGCAUCAUUUUAAUUAGUUUAUUACAUUACUAAGCAAUACUGGGACUAUCAAGACAACAAAUCAACAAAAAUAAUAAACAGAGAACAUAACAUGGCCUUAAUGAACACCAUGGUGCUCCUGUUUCCCAUUAGAGCCUAAAUGAACACUGUUAAUUUAGCAAACAAUAUGGUUCCCAGUAGUAGCUCCACAUUUGCGAGCCUGUGCCGUAUAUCAUUCAUUCUUUUGUGCUUGGAUAUGGCGUAUGCCAAAUGGCAGCUAGCAAAAAGCCAGGACAGCAGGGCAUGCACUAAUGAUCAAGCCCAGGUGUUUCCAAUAAUGUCGCUUCCCCUCACCGUACUGCUUGGACAGCAGGAAUGUCAAAGUCAAUGCAGGUGGUCAUGGGGCCGCAUGUGCUCUAUACAGGGUCCAGCCAGAAAAAACUGGAAUCACUUCAAUAAAAAGAAGGAUACAGUCAGGUCUGAUCCAUUGCUGGGCUGUUUCCCCUCAAUGCUGCCUCACCCAUGAGGCACACGUGACUUUUAGACUAUUGGAUUUUUUAUUACUAACUAAAUUCAGUAUGCUGCUAGAAGCUGGUGUCACUA